rnacentral:rRNA from 1 species
UUUUUCCUACGGGGGGCAGCAGUAGGGAAUCUUCCACAAUGGGGGAAACCCUGAUGCAGCAACGCCGCGUGAGUGAAGAAGUAUUUCGGUAUGUAAAGCUCUAUCAGCAGGGAAGAAGAAAGACGGUACCUGACUAAGAAGCCCCGGCUAACUACGUGCCAGCAGCCGCGGUAAUACGUAGGGGGCAAGCGUUAUCCGGAUUUACUGGGUGUAAAGGGAGCGUAGACGGCAUAGCAAGUCUGAAGUGAAAGCCCGUGGCUCAACCGCGGAACUGCUUUGGAAACUGUUAAGCUGGAGUACUGGAG